rnacentral:lncRNA from 1 species
AUGAUGCAGUGGCCCCAGGGACCCAGAAACCCGACCAUCUCUAUACGACCAGAUGUUGCAAAGAUCUUCCAUACAGUGCCCACUACCCAGGAUGGUCUUCCCAUCUUGAUGACACCAGCCUGUCCUCGACUUGCAUUCCUUAAGAGCUCAUUAAGUUUGAAGAGGCCAGACGGUGCUGUCAGUUAUCUGUGGUUUUCAGAACUGACAAUGAGUAAGUGGUGGCCAAGAUGGAUUGAGAAAGCUAAAACGUACGGAGAGGAGUGAGAAAACGGAGCUGUUGUAGCUCAGGGAACAAACACGACUACUUUAACACAUCUCUUGUGUUUAGGGGUUGUGUGUAUGUAUGGGUAAGGUGGUUUCUUUAUUACAAUGGAGUUUGGGUGGAAUAACACCCACAUAGGUCUUAAGUCCAUGUCAAAGAUUUAGCUCAAGAAAGGAUUAGAAAGAUAUUCCCACUAA